CAGUGANACUUAAACGGCCGCGGUAUCCUAACCGUGCAAAGGUAGCGUAAUCACUUGUCUUAUAAAUAAAGACCCGUAUGAAUGGCUAAAUGAGUAUUUAACUGUCUCCUUUAACUAAUCAGUGAAACUGAUCUUUCAGUACAAAAGCUGAAAUAAUAACAUAAGACGAGAAGACCCCGUGGAGCUUAAAAGCUUUAACAAAAUAACCAUAAAAUGUAUGUUUGUGCUAAAAGUUUUUUAGUUGGGGCGACUUUGGAGUAAAACCCAACCUCCAAGAAAAGGCACCGCCUAAACAAGGCCAACAAGCCAACCUAUAUAGACCCAGUACUACUGAUCAACGAACCAAGUUACCCCAGGGAUAACAGCGCUAUCUUCUUCAAGAGUUCAUAUCGACAAGAAGGUUUACGACCUCGAUGUUGGAUCAGGACACCCAAAUGGUGCAGCCGCUAUUAAAGGUUCGUUUGUUCAACGAUUAACAGUCCUACGUGAUCUGAGUUCCAGACCGGAUCGUUUGUUCNACGAUU
rnacentral:rRNA from 1 species